GUUUCUCUGCGGAGGAACCUCUGCGUGAGGCUACUGGUCUCUCUGCAGCGUGCCUGAAGGUGCCGGCGGCCGCCCUAGGGAGCAGCCUAGACUUGCAGGUUCUUUUAACUGAAUAGUGAAAACGUCCUUUGUUGCAACCUUACUAUUCUAGUUUUGGUCAAAUUCUCUCAUCUUCCCCCCGCAAGGACUGGGUGGUACUUCACCCCCAAAGCGUGAAUUGGUGUUGAUGACGAACAACACUGUAAACGCUGUUUGCAAUCAGAACCAGUUUACUAAACCCUCUUCAUUCAUCUGAGAUUUAUUUAAACUUCUGUCUUAUGCCCCUGUGAUGCAAAGGUAAAAAGAAGUAGUCCCGGUUAUUUUAAAAUUCACAGUCUAAAGGGAAAUAGAGAUGUAAACGGAUAAUAAAAUGCAAUUUGUUAUAGAGCUUUGCAAGAAAUGUGAGUGGAGUGUGGAGUUUGAAGGCGAGUAUUCUAUUGGUGCCUGCUGUGUACACUAUGCUAGAUGCAUUCCAUGUGUAAUUUCGUCCAUCCCUCUGCCAGGUAUAUGGAUUAAUUUGAUCAAAAGAGUUGGCUUCAGGCUCCCAUUGUUCUUCAUCAGCCAUCAACAAAAGCAUCAGUGAAAGUGCGGCAUUUACUCACUGCUGGACAGAAGCCAUUUCUUGAUAUGCUGCUCCUAUGUGUUAUCAUGUCAACCCCAUCUUUCCAGAGAUACGCUGUUUGUAUUUGGAGCCAUCGGGAGUUGGAAGUCAGCAAAGUCAUAUUCAAAGGAACCCUUUCUAAAUACAGAAGAGGCAUGCAAGGAAAAAUUUCAAAGUUGGUAUUGCUGAUUCCCUCUCCUUUAUUGGUAUUGAGCUCCACCAUCUUCAAGACGUGGCCUCCAGCGUUGUCACACAUGUCUGCUUCUGGCCAGUGGAGGAGAAAAAAAAAGGGCGAGGAAAGCGCAUCCUUUAAGCUCCGUGGCAUAGAAAUGAUUCUCCUCAGGUCUGCUCAUACUCCACUGGUGAGAGUGAGUCACAAGGCCUUGCUUAGAUGUUAG
rnacentral:lncRNA from 1 species